rnacentral:rRNA from 1 species
GAUGAACGCUAGCGGCAGGCUUAAUACAUGCGAGUCGUGGGGCAGCAGGUUUGUAGCAAUACAGAUGCUGGCGACCGGCAAACGGGUGCGGAACACGUACAGAACCUUCCUUUGAGCGGGGAAUAGCCCAGAGAAAUUUGGAUUAAUACCCCAUAGUAUAAUGAAGUGGCAUCACUUUAUUAUUAAAGAUUUAUCACUCGAAGAUGGCUGUGCGGCUGAUUAGGUAGUUGUCGGGGUAAAGGCCCACCAAGCCUGCGAUCAGUAACUGGUGUGAGAGCACGACCAGUCACACGGGCACUGAGACACGGGCCCGACUCCUACGGGAGGCAGCAGUAAGGAAUAUUGGUCAAUGGAGGCAACUCUGAACCAGCCAUGCCGCGUGGAGGAUGAAGGUCCUCUGGAUUGUAAACUUCUUUUAUAUGGGACGAAAAAAGGCUUUCUAAGUCGUCUGACGGUACCAUAUGAAUAAGCACCGGCUAACUCCGUGCCAG